AUCGCUUCUCGGCCUUUUGGCUAAGAUCAAGCGUAGUAUCUGUUCUUAUCAAUUAUUCAAUUGUUUAAAGCUGUUCAGAAUGGCUGUACACUGUCCUUUGCAACGUAAUCCAA
ensembl:snRNA U2 U2 spliceosomal RNA